UAGGGUAUAAUGUAAUUCAGGUAACAUAUUUACUUUGGGUGUAAAAAAUUGUAAGUUCAAUUCUUACUACCCUAA
rnacentral:tRNA from 1 species